CAAUGCCAUUUCGCCACGUCGCACCUACGAACCAUCCGGAAAACUUCUUAAUUUGGAGACGUUUGUUGGGUAUUUCAGCCUUUUUGAUUUAUUUUUCGGGCCUUUAUUACUUUUUUUUUUUUUUUUUUUUUUUUUUUUUAGAAUCUCCGAUAAUGUUGGCCUUAAACAUUUAAAAUUACAUAUAUUUUUUUCAAAUAUGACUCAAAAAAAAAUCAAACACAAAACGAAUCCAUGAUUUUUUUAAAAAUUUUAUUUGCUUUAUUCACUUUUGAAGUUCAGAUUAUUUACGAAAAUACCAUUACAUUUUUUUUUUUGAAAAUAAGUGUUUU
rnacentral:lncRNA from 1 species